rnacentral:rRNA from 1 species
AUGAGAAUGGUACAAAUGAUGUCAGUCGGACUGAUAACGAUCCUAGUAAUGAAGAUGACGACAACAACGAUAACGAUUCGUGGUCAUAAUAUGAUAUCUUACCUUCAGAGGAUUUUGCAAAUAAUGAACAUUGGUGCAAACAGUGAAAAAGAAGAUGUGGACGUUAAGAAUGAGCAAAAUAAUCAUGAGGAAUCGUGGGCCGAUAACUUGAGCCAGGAGGGCUCAGAUGGUCUUGAUGGUGGCGACGACGAAGCAGAGAUGGACAUUGAGGAGGCUCAAUACCAACAACAGAAGUUGGAGACACAUUGGAAGGUCAUGGCUAUGUCUUUUUGGCCACAAGGGGAUGCAUACAUAUUCUACAACAAGCAUGCCAAAGAACAUGGGUUCAGCAUCAGGAGAGAGAAGAUGAAACGAGGGAAGGGUGCUUUAGGAAUAAUAUGGUUCAGGCGGUUUGUUUGCUCUAGGGCAGGGAGAAGGCAGAGGAAAAUCAUAACCAUGGAGGGUCGCACCCGUAGGCUUAGACCCGAGACUCGAUGCGAGUGCGGUGCGUAG